AAAAAAAGGAUUUAUGCUGGAAACCACAUUGGCUGGUGGCUGACAAGGAAAAGUUGGAUUUGAGAAACGACACAAGAAUUACAGGAUUUUUACUGGACAUGUAUGACAGCUACGACCCAUUGUCAAAAGUUCUGCUCUAUUCUCUCUCUGAGGGUGUGAGAAGGAUCACUGGGAAGAAAGAAAAAGGAGUGCUGGCUGACAGUGCUCUAAUAGCAGCAGAUGGAAUGGAGACAGAGAGACCAUAGGACAGUGCACUGGCAUUGCAUGAUGUGUCCAAACCCCUCGCCAAUAUGGUGAAUAGGUGAACGAGUUGGGGUUCGGAAAGCAAUUCUAUGGCAGAGAAGAAUCCUUGGAAGCUGGGUCAGGAGCAAAUAAAUGCCAGUGCUGAUGAAGCUGGAAAAUUGAAGUACAUUCUUCAAAAUAGUAUUUUUUUCUGGCACUAUAAUUUUAGUUUGGAGUGCAUCAGUAACUGAAUUCCUGGGACUAAUUUGAUACAGGAGAGCAGUGAGGUAGAGUGCUCAUGUCACUGAGGUUCUUACUGGCUGUGGGAUGUCCAUACAGGGGUCAGGAUGAGCAGCAAGAAGAAAAUCAAGCUCUUGCAUAAGAAUACAGGGGCAGUUCUUACUCCAUUUUGAUUUUGCUAUGAGGUUAUUGUGAACUGUAAAGAAUUACUGUAAGUUGUGUGAAAUUCUGUGUUGUGUUGAAUAGCACAUUAAACUUAGUUACCUAAAGUUUUACUGUGUCAUUUUAAUGUUAAUGAAGUGUGUAGAGUGGAUUAUUUCCCUGGGAGAGUCUGUACAGAGUUCUCUGAUGGGCAGCAAAAAAGGACAAGCCAAAGUGCUCGUGGUAUUGCUAAACUUAGUCAGAAUUUAGCAACUUUUUGUAGGUUUUCUUAAUGACUGAAAUCUUUAUGUUUUAUUUAAAACUCAAAAGGGUUAAAAAAGAAACAAUAUUCUAGUGUCAGUUGCACCAUCAAGUGUGCUUCCAUCUGAAUGUGUUUCUUGGAAUGCUUUUCUUUAGGGAACAAAUUUAACAUAUCCCAUAUAUUGGAAGGCAUUUGUGCAGUUGGCUGAUGCCCUAAAAAAUAAUGGGGGAAAAAUGCUGGACUUUAGAUUGCAUUGUGUUGGUGCCUUUGAAAAAAUGAGUAACUGAGGUCAGCUAAUCAGCUUAUCUAAAAUCUUCUGUGAUUGAAGCAUUUGAUAUCUUGCUUUGGCUUUUGAUAGUACAAAAGCUGAUACAUGAGCUGAUACGUGACACAUGUAAAUUAUUUUCUUCUGUACCAGAGAUGAAGUAAGUGGAGUACUUUCAGUAACUGAAGUUCUACAGAACGGUGUUGGCGGUUCUGAACCUGUUUUGUAGUUACCGAGUGUGAGUAAUCCUGGGAAGGUUUUGAACCGAGAAGCUGAGGUUGGUGCAGUACUCAGGGUAUUCAGUGUAUGGUUGUCAGAAGCACAGAAACUUCCAGUUCUUUGCUUUUAACACUUUUUUUUCUUUAACCGCACACUUGAAUAAGCUUUCAGGUCUUGAUCUUAGAGUGUUCAAGCCAGCUGGGCUUUCCCACCAACUUACACUAGAACAGCCUCUCUGUGGGGAGAAAUUCCCCUAAUUAGAUCUUUAUACUCUGCAUUCAGCUCUUUAAAUGAGCUGUUUCACUGGCUGUAAGAAAUUGCUGUUGCCCUUAAAUAUUAUAUUGAUGAAGUAUCUGAAUUCAAUGUUACUUUAUGAACAAUAGAUUUUUCUCUAAAUGUUGCGCAGAUCUUUAAAAAAAAGUUGAGGAGGCAGUUUUUUGAGACUUUGUCAAAAUGAAAAUGCCAAUUCCUCUGUAUUUGUGUUCUCUCUUUGCUCUGCACCUUUCAGAUUUUUCUUUGACUACCAAACAUUGAGUCAUGUAAAUAACUCAGUUUGGCUCACGGAAGAAGGGUGACUGGUGACACUUAUUGUCAGUGAAGUGUCUUCCAGUGCUCUCAGAUUUGAUUGUUGGUGUCAUUACAGUGAGAAGGAAAGAGGACUCAGCCUUCCAUUACAUUUCCCUCCAAAAUCUUCAAGAUCAGAAGAAUCCACAACUGUGCCACAUUCUCAGCCAGUUUAACCUCGUUCUUAUGCCUUUUUAAAUCCACACUGCAAAUAUUUUUAUUAUUUAAUGACUUACUGUUAUGCCAGUAGAAUAAUACUGCUGUACCUGAUAUGUUGAGUUGCACUCAUUAUGUAAAUUACUGGGAGAAUGAUUAUUCUUGUUCAUAGUACUGGAAUAUAGUACCAUUCAUCCCAAACCUCCCAUUACACUGCUGCUUCAUGCUGAAGAAAAAUCGAGAGAAAGUAGACUUCUAAACAUUUCCUUUUGUAAUGUUACAGUGUGACAGAUGAUAUAUUUGGGUUGCUACAUGAGCAUAUGCUUUUGAGUAUCUGACUUCUGUAGAGCAGAAUAUUAUCAUUAUUAUUUUCCAGUAAAGUUAUAAUGGCGAAGAGAAAUGAUUCUGAAACAAAUUUGUUUCUUCUGAUGGAUAUGAUGAGCAGUGGCUCUGCUUUAAUCAAAAUUGCCAAGUGAGGCUUUCUGCUCCUGUGGGUCUGUGGGAAUUGUGGAAUUUGACUAUGUUCAGAUGUCAAAACUAAACAUAUAAGAAUUACUUACCCUCUUAUUCCCGUGGUACAUUAAAUAUGUAGGUUUAAGAGAAUUCCUUUAAGCAGAACUGUAAGUUGUGCUGUUGGCAGUACUGAAUACUUAGGGCAUAACCUGUAAUGUUAAAUGAGAAAAUUUUUGUAGAGAUUUACAGUGGAAGACAAAUAGUAGCUAUAAAAACCGCUGACUUUUGGUUUUGUUUUGUGUUUAUAAAGUGGACUUACUGUGCCAGUUGGUUUCCUUAGAACUGUGGAUCUGUCUAAUCUUUUAAAAUGUGAGUAUUUACAUACAUAAACCAGGAAACUUCAUCCAAGUAAGGGCUGUUCUGUGUUGAACUUAAAUUUCAAACCAUUAGCUAAAGCAUUGAAGUUACAAUGCACUGAAUUUUACAGUACUAACUUAAUUUUCCAUUACUUUGCCUUCACAAGAAGCUAUUUUCUAAAAUCACAAUAACUACAAUUGUGCUUUUAGCUCACAUAAUGUAGUAUCACCUGAAAAUUUUGUGUGUCUUGCUGGGGAAAGGUAGUCUGACCUAUAUUGUGAUUUAAUUUUGUAGUAAAAACCACCUACAAGAUAGGAGGAAAAAUUGUUUAAAAUAGCUCUUGCAGAUUUCUUGGAGUUUUGCAGAUCAUCACAGACCCACUGGAGAGGAGUAGAAACUGAGGUGAGAUACUGAAACAGGUUACUUAAAGAAACAAUGUUUCAAUGCCCUGUUUUCUUGCCAUUUCAAAUUGCUGUUUAAUUCUCUUUCCCUACUCUGAAUGCUUACAAGUCUGUAAAGCUUGAUCAGACAGUCAAGAGGAAUGCUGCACUGAGGCACAUUAUUUAAGAAUGUAUUAGGGAUGCAGGAAACUGGUUUUGUUCUGAAUUCUUCAGGCUUUGUAGAUCAUCACAGGUUUUAUCUUGUGCUAAAAUUGAAAUAAAUUUGAAAUACAACUU